UACGAAGGGGGCUAGCGUUGUUCGGAUUUACUGGGCGUAAAGGGUGCGUAGGCGGAUUUUUAAGUCAGGGGUGAAAUCCCAAGGCUCAACCUUGGAACUGCCUUUGAUACUGGGGAUCUUGAGUCCGGGAGAGGUGAGUGGAACUGCGAGUGUAGAGGUGAAAUUCGUAGAUAUUCGCAAGAACACCAGUGGCGAAGGCGGCUCACUGGCCCGGUACUGACGCUGAGGUGCGAAAGCGUGGGGAGCAAACAGG
rnacentral:rRNA from 1 species